GGAUUGUGGCUCAGUGGUAGAGCACCUGCCUAGCAUGUAUGAGGCACUCAGUUCAAUUCUCAGCACCA
rnacentral:tRNA from 1 species